UUUUGCGAUUGAUCNNNGGGCUCACCUCUUACCAUUCCGAACAGAGAAGUUAAGCCCAUUAGCGCCGAUGGUACUGCCACAGGUGGGAGAGUAGGUCGUUGCCUUUCU
rnacentral:rRNA from 1 species